rnacentral:rRNA from 1 species
UGUUCGCCGAUUAAAGUGGCACGUGAACUGGGUUCAGAACGUCGCAAGACAGUUCGGUCCCUAUCUGUGGUGGGCGUUAGUAAAUUGAGAAGACAUGCUCUUAGUACGAGAGGACCGGAGCGUACGUACCGCUGGUGUAUCUGUUGUGCCGCCAGGUGCAAUGCAGAGUAGCUAUGUACGGCAAGGAUAAACGCUGAAAGCAUCU